CAAGGACCAAUAUUAAAAAGGCGAAACCGCUGGGCGUGAUGGCUCAUGCCUGUAAACUCAGCACUUUGGGAGGCUGAGGCAAGAGAAUCACUUGAGCCCAGGAAUUUGAGACCAACCAGAGCAACAUAGCGAAGCCCUGUCUCUACAAAAAAACCAACCAACCAACCAAAAACAAAAAACAGGAAACACAACAAAACAAACAACCAAAAAAAAAAAAAGCAAUGAACAAAAAAACAAAAAAUUAGCUGGACAUGGUUGGUGUGUGCCUGUAGUCCCAGCUACUUGGGAGGUUGAGAUGGGAGAAUCGCAUAAGCCCAGGAAGUUGAGGCUGCAAUGAGCUGUGAUCAUGCCACUGCACUCCAGCCUAGGUGACAGAGUGAGACUCUCUCUCUCUCUCACUCACACACAUGUACACAUACACACAACUUAAAAAGGUGAAACUGUUCAAACAGAAAGCCAGUUACUAAUAUCCAAAUCAGAGUGUAUUUUAUUUCAUGUUUUUUAGGAUUUUGCUUUUUCUGUUUCAUUUCUAGAAACAAUUAUGAGAAAAGUGAAUGAAAUAACAUUAUAGUAACUUUAUAACAAUUAGCUAAAGCAUCCCUGCACAACUGGAGAAAACUGAUGGCAUCUCGCUGUGCUGCCUAGGCAGACCUUGAACUUCUGGACUUAAGCGAUAGAUCCUCCACCUCAGCCUCUUGAGUAUUUGGGACUACAGGCACGUGUCACUGCACCCAGCUUGACCUAUGUUUUAAUAGGAUUUCUCACUGUAAUGUUGAGAAAGAUUGUACCAUUAUUUUUAAUAGUGAGAAAUUAGAAACAUCAUAAAUGGCCACAAAGGAUGGACUGGGUGCACACAUUUGAAUACAUAUAUGUGAUGAAAUGUCACUUGGUUAUACACUUAUGAUAUAAUACUGAGUGAAAAAUAGAAUAUAAAAUUAUAUGUUUAUAAUACAAUUGGAACAAAUUAAAGAUAACAGCAGUAGGAUAAGAACAAGCUAUGGGUAUUCUUCUCACUUGCUUUUCCCUGUGCAUGCUUUUAAUACUUUGUUUUAAAACAAAGUAACCCAUGCUUAUUAUACAAACUUGAACAAUUAUGAAUUAUAAUGUAAAAAUUAAUAAAAUCCUAUCAUUUCCUUCAAUUCCAUACUUCUAGAAUUAACUAAUGUUAAAAUUGAUGUGUGUUCGUCAACAACUAUCUUGUGUCCUUCUAGGAAUAAAUAUAUACAAACAUAAUUCAUGAAUAUGUAUAUAUGUUUGAAUAUGUAUAAAUAUUAAUAUGUUGAAGCAUAUGCACGUACAUAUAUGCGUAAAUAUAUAUGCAUACACACACAAAUCUUUUUCGAUUUCUUUCUUCCUUUGUUCAUUCAUUCCUUUGUCCCUCCCUUCCUCACUCCCUGCCUUCUUUCCUUCAAGGUUCGUAAUAUACUCAUAAUAGGUUCUUUUGCUUAACAAUAUGUUAUUGACAUUCCAUGAAUUAGUAGUUUGUAAUCUUGGCUGCACACUGGACUCUCCAAGGAGUAUUAAUAGUGCUGAUGGGUCCAAUUGUCAGAAAUUCUGAAUUGAUGGUUUGGCAUGAGGCCUGGGUAUCAAAAUUUAUAAAACUUCUUUAAGUGGUUCUAAUGUGCAGCCACAUUGAGAACCACUGCCUUAGGUUAUACAUAUAGAUCCAACUCAUUAUUAUUAUUAUUCUUAAUAGCUCAUAAUAUUCCAUACUGUGGCUGUACUAAAAUGUGUUUAUCUAGUCCUCUAUUGAGAAACAUUCAGUUUGUUUCCAGUAUGUUAUUCUACUAAAAAGUCUUUAAACAUGUAUCUUUAGUUCUUUAGUUACCAGUUUCUUUAUUUCUACAAAAUACAGUCCUAUAAGUAAAGUUGCUGGGUUCAGAGGUAUGAGUGUUUAAAAUUUUAAUUGGCACUGCUAGAUUAUUUUCCAAAAAGAUCUCAAUAAUACCUACUUCUAGUAGCAGUGUUAAGAGUACUCCUUUCCUUAUAUCUUUGUUAAUCCGA
rnacentral:lncRNA from 1 species